GUUGAAACCAUGUUGAAUUAUUGAUGAACUUGGUUAUGUUAAUGUUGUGGAUGAACUUAGUCAGGUUGAAAUUGCAUGUUCGAUACUGUUGGAUGAACAUAUUAAACCUUUAUUGCAUUUUGAGGAUUAUAACAUGUUAGUAUGGAAGAUUGAUGCAAACAUGUUUUAUUGGGAACACUAGAUUAUUUAGUAUAUAAUUCAGAUCAGUUAAUUGUUGUUCCCUUUUUAGCUUUUCACUACUUUAUGAGGGCGGAGGACCUCAUUUAGUAAGUUGAAACCUUAUACCCAUAUUCAGGGGUUGAUCAGUAUUAAAGAAAAGAUUGGAGUUAAUUGGAAUGAGUCUUGUUUGAUGCCUUUGUGAUCACUUACUCAAUUCCAAGAUAAAAACAGUUAUAAAUAAAUGUGAGUUGCAUGCCUUAUGUGAUUGUUGAGUCAUAACAGGGUGUCAAUUUGUAAAUCACGUAAAGUGAAACUGAGUAGCAAUAGCUUUAGACUGUGCACGUCUAAAGUGACGGACAAACAGGAGUUGGGGUUCAUGGUGGUAGCCCAUGGCCUUUCAUUCGGACCGGAUUGAUCACCGCGUCCUAUUUUCAGUCAAACGUUCCUCGAUAUCGCAGGUCACUGAGGUUACGGAGUCGCGCCCGUACCUCGCCUAGCUAGAAAACUCGGUCCAUUGCCUAUUUCAAUUAAAUUAAUAUUAUUGUUAUAAAAGUCUAGUCCAGUCUAGCUUAGUCUAGUUAAGUAUGGUCGUCAGGUUAUCAUGCUUUGUCUGCCCUUAAUUAUGUUUAAUAGUAUCAUGUUAGGAUUAUUAUUGCUUUAGUACGUACAUACCUGUGUGCUUGGAAUGUGUGCUAAUUGUUGAAACCAUGUUGAAUUAUUGAUGAACUUGGUUAUGUUAAUGUUGUGGAUGAACUUAGUCAGGUUGAAAUUGCAUGUUCGAUACUGUUGGAUGAACAUAUUAAACCUUUAUUGCAUUUUGAGGAUUAUAACAUGUUAGUAUGGAAGAUUGAUGCAAACAUGUUUUAUUGGGAACACUAGAUUAUUUAGUAUAUAAUUCAGAUCAGUUAAUUGUUGUUCCCUUUUUAGCUUUUCACUACUUUAUGAGGGCGGAGGACCUCAUUUAGUAAGUUGAAACCUUAUACCCAUAUUCAGGGGUUGAUCAGUAUUAAAGAAAAGAUUGGAGUUAAUUGGAAUGAGUCUUGUUUGAUGCCUUUGUGAUCACUUACUCAAUUCCAAGAUAAAAACAGUUAUAAAUAAAUGUGAGUUGCAUGCCUUAUGUGAUUGUUGAGUCAUAACAGGGUGUCAAUUUGUAAAUCACGUAAAGUGAAACUGAGUAGCAAUAGCUUUAGACUGUGCACGUCUAAAGUGACGGACAAACAGGAGUUGGGGUUCAUGGUGGUAGCCCAUGGCCUUUCAUUCGGACCGGAUUGAUCACCGCGUCCUAUUUUCAGUCAAACGUUCCUCGAUAUCGCAGGUCACUGAGGUUACGGAGUCGCGCCCGUACCUCGCCUAGCUAGAAAACUCGGUCCAUUGCCUAUUUCAAUUAAAUUAAUAUUAUUGUUAUAAAAGUCUAGUCCAGUCUAGCUUAGUCUAGUUAAGUAUGGUCGUCAGGUUAUCAUGCUUUGUCUGCCCUUAAUUAUGUUUAAUAGUAUCAUGUUAGGAUUAUUAUUGCUUUAGUAUGUAGUACUCAGCUUUGCUGAUUACGUGCUUUGUUUGUGUGUGUUGAUCAUGGCUAUGCCUAUUGAUCCUGUGAUGACCCAUCUUUGGUGAGCAGUCUCUAAGGAUCAAUAAGCGUUGCCCAUCUACAGGUUUGAAGAUGAUGCAUCAUUGGGAUCGGGAUUAGAGAGCUUAUAGUUCUAUUUGUUUAAUUAAGUGAUUUAAUUUGUUAACUUAUAUUUGAAAGUUGUCGUACUAUUCGUAUUUCUUUAUUUCCGUUAAUUGGUUUUGGACUUAAUAUGUAAUCAAUUAUUUAUGAACCUAAAAGUUAGUUUUAUGUUUUCCGCUGCAAAA